AGAGUUUGAUCAUGGCUCAGGACGAACGCUGGCGGCGUGCUUAACACAUGCAAGUCGAACGAGGCCCAACCAGUGGCAACACUGGGGAAGGCCUAGUGGCGAACGGGUGAGUAACACGUGAGGAACCUGCCCCGAAGACUGGGAUAACCCCCCGAAAGGGGAGCUAAUACCAGAUGUCCCUUCCAGAUCGCAUGGUCAGGAAGGGAAAAGGUCCGCUGCUUCGGGAGGGCCUCGCGGCCUAUCAGCUUGUUGGUGAGGUAACGGCUCACCAAGGCGACGACGGGUAGCUGGUCUGAGAGGACGAUCAGCCACACUGGGACUGAGACACGGCCCAGACUCCUACGGGAGGCAGCAGUGGGGAAUCUUGCGCAAUGGGCGAAAGCCUGACGCAGCAACGCCGCGUGCGGGAUGACGGCCUUCGGGUUGUAAACCGCUUUCAGUGGGGACGAAAACAGACGGUACCCACAGAAGAAGCCCCGGCCAACUACGUGCCAGCAGCCGCGGUAACACGUAGGGGGCAAGCGUUGUCCGGAAUCAUUGGGCGUAAAGAGCUCGUAGGCGGCUCGGUAAGUCGGGUGUGAAACCCUCAGGCUCAACCUGGGGACGCCACCCGAUACUGCCGUGGCUAGAGUCCAGUAGGGGAGUGUGGAAUUCCCGGUGUAGCGGUGAAAUGCGCAGAUAUCGGGAGGAACACCAGCGGCGAAGGCGGCACUCUGGGCUGGUACUGACGCUGAGGAGCGAAAGCGUGGGUAGCAAACAGGAUUAGAUACCCCCGUAGUCC
rnacentral:rRNA from 1 species